rnacentral:misc_RNA from 1 species
AUGAAGAACGCAGUGAAAUGCGAUAAGUAAUGUGAAUUGCAGAAUUCAGUGAAUCAUCGAAUCUUUGAACGCACAUUGCGCCCGCCAGUAUUCUGGCGGGCAUGCCUGUCUGAGCGUCAUUUCAACCCUCAUGCCCCUAGGGCGUGGUGUUGGGGAUCGGCCAAAGCCCGCGAGGGACGGCCGGCCCCUAAAUCUAGUGGCGGACCCGUCGUGGCCUCCUCUGCGAAGUAGUGAUAUUCCGCAUCGGAGAGCGAUGAGCCCCUGCCGUUAAACCCCCAACUUUCCAAGGUUGACCUCAGAUCAGGUAGGAAUACCCGCUGAACUUAAGCAUAUCAAUAAGCGGAGGA